rnacentral:rRNA from 1 species
UAACACAUGCAAGUCGAGCGGUAGAGAGGUGCUUGCACCUCUUGAGAGCGGCGGACGGGUGAGUAAAGCCUAGGAAUCUGCCUGGUAGUGGGGGAUAACGCUCGGAAACGGACGCUAAUACCGCAUACGUCCUAGGGGAGAAAGCAGGGGACCUUCGGGCCUUGCGCUAUCAGAUGAGCCUAGGUCGGAUUAGCUAGUUGGUGAGGUAAUGGCUCACCAAGGCGACGAUCCGUAACUGGUCUGAGAGGAUGAUCAGUCACACUGGAACUGAGACACGGUCCAGACUCCUACGGGAGGCAGCAGUGGGGAAUAUUGGACAAUGGGCGAAAGCCUGAUCCAGCCAUGCCGCGUGUGUGAAGAAGGUCUUCGGAUUGUAAAGCACUUUAAGUUGGGGGGAAGGGCAUUAACCUAAUACGUUAGUGUUUUAACGUUACCGACAGAAUAAGCACCGGCUAACUCUGUGCCAGCAGCCGCGGUAAUACAGAGGGUGCAAGCGUUAAUCGGAAUUACUGGGCGUAAAGCGCGCGUAGGUGGUUCGUUAAGUUGGAUGUGAAAUCCCCGGGCUCAACCUGGGAACUGCAUUCAAAACUGUCGAGCUAGAGUAUGGUAGAGGGUGGUGGAAUUUCCUGU